rnacentral:rRNA from 1 species
AGUGAACGCUGGCGGUAGGCCUAACACAUGCAAGUCGAACGGCAGCACAGUAAGAGCUUGCUCUUACGGGUGGCGAGUGGCGGACGGGUGAGGAAUACAUCGGAAUCUACUUUUUCGUGGGGGAUAACGUAGGGAAACUUACGCUAAUACCGCAUACGACCUACGGGUGAAAGCAGGGGAUCUUCGGACCUUGCGCGAUUGAAUGAGCCGAUGUCGGAUUAGCUAGUUGGCGGGGUAAAGGCCCACCAAGGCGACGAUCCGUAGCUGGUCUGAGAGGAUGAUCAGCCACACUGGGACUGAGACACGGUCCAGACUCCUACGGGAGGCAGCAGUGGGGAAUAUUGGACAAUGGGCGCAAGCCUGAUCCAGCCAUACCGCGUGGGUGAAGAAGGCCUUCGGGUUGUAAAGCCCUUUUGUUGGGAAAGAAAAGCAGCAAGUUAAUACCCCGCUGUUCUGACGGUACCCAAAGAAUAAGCACCGGCUAACUUCGUG